UACGAAGGGGGGCUAGCGUUGCUCGGAAUCACUGGGCGUAAAGCGCACGUAGGCGGAUUUGUUAGUCAGGGGUGAAAUCCCGGGGCUCAACCUCGGAACUGCCUUUGAUACUGCAAAUCUCGAGUCCGGAAGAGGUGGGUGGAAUUCCUAGUGUAGAGGUGAAAUUCGUAGAUAUUAGGAAGAACACCGGUGGCGAAGGCGGCCCACUGGUCCGGUACUGACGCUGAGGUGCGAAAGCGUGGGGAGCAAACAGG
rnacentral:rRNA from 1 species